AACGAACGCUGGCGGCAUGCCUAACACAUGCAAGUCGAACGAGACCUUCGGGUCUAGUGGCGCACGGGUGCGUAACGCGUGGGAAUCUGCCCUUGGGUUCGGAAUAACAGUUGGAAACGUCUGCUAAUACCGGAUGAUGACGUAAGUCCAAAGAUUUAUCGCCCAAGGAUGAGCCCGCGUAGGAUUAGCUAGUUGGUGAGGUAAAGGCUCACCAAGGCGACGAUCCUUAGCUGGUCUGAGAGGAUGAUCAGCCACACUGGGACUGAGACACGGCCCAGACUCCUACGGGAGGCAGCAGUGGGGAAUAUUGGACAAUGGGCGAAAGCCUGAUCCAGCAAUGCCGCGUGAGUGAUGAAGGCCUUAGAGUUGUAAAGCUCUUUUACCCGGGAUGAUAAUGACAGUACCGGGAGAAUAAGCUCCGGCUAACUCCGUG
rnacentral:rRNA from 1 species